rnacentral:rRNA from 1 species
GACUCUAAGCGGUGGAUCACUCGGUUCUGGGGUCGAUGAAGAACGCAGCCAGCUGCGAGACUUGGUGUGAAUUGCAGGACACACUGAGCACUGAUUCUUUGAACCUACAUUGCGGCCUUGAGUCUUCCCUUGGCUUCGUCUAUCUGAGGGUCG